rnacentral:rRNA from 1 species
ACGCUCGUGGAACGAGCGGCGGACGGGUGAGUAACACGUGGGCAACCUGCCUGUAAGAUCGGGAUAACUCCGGGAAACCGGGGCUAAUACCGGGUAAUACUUUCUUUCGCAUGAAGGAAAGUUGAAAGAUGGCUUCUCGCUAUCACUUACAGAUGGGCCCGCGGCGCAUUAGCUAGUUGGUGAGGUAACGGCUCACCAAGGCGACGAUGCGUAGCCGACCUGAGAGGGUGAUCGGCCACACUGGGACUGAGACACGGCCCAGACUCCUACGGGAGGCAGCAGUAGGGAAUCUUCCGCAAUGGACGAAAGUCUGACGGAGCAACGCCGCGUGAACGAUGAAGGUCUUCGGAUCGUAAAGUUCUGUUGUUAGGGAAGAACAAGUACCGUGCGAAUAGAGCGGUACCUUGACGGUACCUAACGAGGAAGCCCCGGCUAACUACGUGCCAGCAGCCGCGGUAAUACGUAGGGGGCAAGCGUUGUCCGGAAUUAUUGGGCGUAAAGCGCGCGCAGGCGGUUCCUUAAGUCUGAUGUGAAAGCCCACGGCUCAACCGUGGAGGGUCAUUGGAAACUGGGGAACUUGAGGACAGAAGAGGAGAGUGGAAUUCCACGUGUAGCGGUGAAAUGCGUAGAUAUGUGGAGGAACACCAGUGGCGAAGGCGACUCUCUGGUCUGUUUCUGACGCUGAGGUGCGAAAGCGUGGGUAGCAAACAGGAUUAGAUACCCUGGUAGU